GACGAACGCUGGCGGCGUGCUUAACACAUGCAAGUCGAACGGAAAGGCCCUGCUUUUGUGGGGUGCUCGAGUGGCGAACGGGUGAGUAACACGUGAGUAACCUGCCCUUGACUUUGGUAUAACUUCAGGAAACUGGGGCUAAUACCGUAUAGGAGCUCCUGCUGCAUGGUGGGGGUUGGAAAUUUUCGGCGGUUGGGGAUGGACUCGCGGCUUAUCAGCUUGUUGGUGGGGUAGUGGCUUACCAAGGCUUUGACGGGUAGCCGGCCUGAGAGGGUGACCGGCGACAUGGGGACUGAGAUACGGCCCAGACUCCUACGGGAGGCAGCAGUGGGGAGUAUUGCACAAUGGGCGGAAGCCUGAUGCAGCAACGUCGCGGGCGGGAUGACGGCCUUCGGGUUGUAAACCGCUUUCGCCUGUGACGAAGCGUGAGUGACGGUAAUGGGUAAAGAAGCACCGGCUAACUACGUG
rnacentral:rRNA from 1 species